GGUAAAAUGGCUGAGUAAGCAUUAGGCUGUAAACCUAAAGACAGGGGGAUACCCCCCCUUUUUACCA
rnacentral:tRNA from 1 species